GGAAACUUUUUAAAAAUGCACUUUGUAAUAAUAUCUAAAUAAUUUUAAAUUAUAGUAAGUACACUUUCAUCAUAAUAUUUAUAAACACACUUAAGUGCACUUUUAAAAAUGCACUUUGUAUUAAUGUCUAAUUAAGCUUAACUUAAAGAAAGUACACUUUCAACAUAAUAUUUAUAAACACACUUAAGUGCACUUUUAAAAAUGCACUUUUUAAUACUGUCUAAUUAAGCUUAACUUAUAGUAAGUACACUUUCAUCACAAUAUUUCUUAACAUACUUAAGUACACUUUUUAAAAAUGCACUUUGUCUAAUUUAGUUUUACUUAAAUGUAACCCUGGUUAAAUAAUUAAAUAUUAUUAUUUUAAAAGUGUGCUUAAAAAUAAUAGAGACUAUUCAUACAUUUACAUUUAUUUUAUAAAUGAGGAAAUACAUGUGAAUAAUUCAAUCUGAAUUAUAAAUCUGAAAUGAGUAAACCAAUCGGAGUGUUUAAUUGUAAGCUCCGCCCCUUUUUUGCUUUCGGAUCGCGUCUCAGUUCAGAGGAGAGAUGCAGAGCGACAGAGACACUCUAUCUAACGCGAGAGUGUUUAAUUUGAUUUAAUAUGACUCCUAAGUUCAUGUAAACUGAAGAAAUAAGAAUUUAACUUGCAUAUAUUCAAUGAUACAGCGUGAUUGUGUGGAUUGAGCACUUUUUGAGCUUUCAUUUUGACCUGUGUGAUUAUGUAAAACCACAUGGUGCGUUGUGUUCACUGCUGUUCGCUGACGCCAUUUUGGUUGCACGUGCCUGUGAAAGACAAAAAGAGAGAGAAACACGUGAAUGGACAGGUAUUUGUCUAAAUUGUCAUUUAUUAUGAUGAUGGCACUUAUGUAUGUAUUUUAUUUGUUUCCUGUAUUGUGUACAAUUGUUCAUCAUUAUUGAUACACAAUAUUGAAUGUUUUUUCCUUUCGUAUGAACAUUCCUUGAGCUGGAUUUUCCUAAUUGAUGGCGAGCCUCCCAUUUCGACCUGAUUGGAUCACGAAUCUAGAGGAAAGGACAAAUUUCUAUUUUAAAUAUUUUUCUUCAGACAAGUAAGAGGAUACAUUUCAGAAACUGUUUCCUUAUUUUGUUUGUUUACUUCAUUGAACUGAAACAUUUCAGAAGCACAAAUCUGAUAAUUUAAGACUGAUCAAUACUCCAAUUGAUAAGAACUUUGAACUUGAAUACGGAUUUCAGUGUGUUACAUAUAUAAUUUGUACCAUCUUUGUACAUUGAUUGUGACUGUGAUUUCUGUAAAUGAGAAGUAAUUUAGAGGGUGCACCCAUAGUAUAUAUCCCCCUUCUUCAAAUCUUACCAUGGAGGUCCAGAGCACUACAGAGUUUAGCUCCAACCCUGAUCAAACACACCUGAGCAAGCUAAUCAAGGUCUUCAUGAUCACUAGGAAAUCACAGGUGGGUAAUGCUGCGUUCCAGGCAACCUGUAACUCGUAAAUUACGACUUCAAAACCACGAGUCACGACUCUGAACUGGGAGUACAUCGAUCUAGUACGAGUUCACGGGUGGGAAGUCACGGGUUUGACUGCCGUUCCAGUGCACUUUCACAGGUAGAAAGUUGUAAAAACACGGGUUACAGGCUGCGUGGAACGCAUAGAGUCGUGAGUCGUGGUUUUGAAGUCGUAAUUCACGGGUUCAAAAACCUGCCUGGAACGCAGCAUAAGUUUGAUUAGGGUUGGAGCUAAACUCUCUAGUGCUCUGGACCUCCAGGGUAAGAUUUGAGGAACCCUGGUAUAUAUAGUUAAUUGUAUUUUCAUUGUUGUUUACUAUUUUUUUGUGAUUAAGGAAAGAAAAAGAAAGGUUUCUCAAUACUCAAAGUAAAAUAAUUUAUUAAUCAACUUA